rnacentral:rRNA from 1 species
UACGAAGGGGGCUAGCGUUGUUCGGAAUUACUGGGCGUAAAGCGUGCGCAGGCGGCUGCUCAAGUCAGGGGUGAAAGCCCAGAGCUCAACUCUGGAAUUGCCUUUGAGACUGAGUGGCUUGAGUACGGGAGAGGUGAGUGGAAUUCCCAGUGUAGAGGUGAAAUUCGUAGAUAUUGGGAAGAACACCGGUGGCGAAGGCGGCUCACUGGCCCGUAACUGACGCUCAUGCGCGACAGCGUGGGGAUCAAACAGG